UGGGGAAUAUUGGACAAUGGGCGAAAGCCUGAUCCAGCAAUGCCGCGUGAGUGAUGAAGGCCUUAGGGUUGUAAAGCUCUUUUACCCGGGAUGAUAAUGACAGUACCGGGAGAAUAAGCCCCGGCUAACUCCGUGCCAGCAGCCGCGGUAAUACGGAGGGGGCUAGCGUUGUUCGGAAUUACUGGGCGUAAAGCGCACGUAGGCGGCUUUGUAAGUUAGAGGUGAAAGCCCGGGGCUCAACUCCGGAAUUGCCUUUAAAACUACAUCGCUAGAAUUGUGGAGAGGUAAGUGGAAUUCCGAGUGUAGAGGUGAAAUUCGUAGAUAUUCGGAAGAACACCAGUGGCGAAGGCGACUUACUGGACACAUAUUGACGCUGAGGUGCGAAAGCGUGGGGAGCAAACA
rnacentral:rRNA from 1 species